rnacentral:lncRNA from 1 species
CAGAAGUCUUCCAGGAUCAUAUACACAGCGUUGGUGACAUUUCGAGGCACAGGUUUGGCAAAUUUCAUUCGACUGUUCACAACAAUGCUGCCAUUUCUGAAGUUCAGGAUUUCCAGAUUCUGGAAGCCUGUUAGAUUUGACUGAAGGUACGGUACCAGCAGUUCCAAGAAUCGUUGCUCUAAUGCUUUAUAUUCAGGGGAAUUCUUAUUGAACAGGUCUUCUGAAAACAUCAUAUUGGUAACCCGAAGACUGAAAAACACAACUAAAGCUCGUGAUGGAACAGGAGUGCUAUUGUGAAUUUCAUGUGUGGGCCAAGCCACGCCGGCCAUCUCUGUGGAGUGGGCAUGGGUAGUUAGCUCCAUGUGACUGUCAGUCAUGCUCUUUGCCUCCUCACUCGGCUCUGGAGAAAAGCUGACCAUGCUCACAUGAUCCAGGUCCACUGAAACAUCCAGGACUCUUGUUGUUUCAUCUCCCACCUUUGCUAAGGUAACCACAGAUGAUGACACUGUGGUUGUCAUGGGAGGGAGAUGGGAUGGAAGC